UACAGAGGUCCCAAGCGUUGUUCGGAUUCACUGGGCGUAAAGGGUGCGUAGGUGGCCAGGUAAGUCUGAUGUGAAAUCUCUGGGCUCAACCCAGAAACUGCAUUGGAUACUAUCUGGCUAGAGGAGUGGAGGGGGGACUGGAAUACUUGGUGUAGCAGUGAAAUGCGUAGAUAUCAAGUGGAACACCAGUGGCGAAGGCGAGUCCCUGGACACUUCCUGACACUGAGGCACGAAAGCUAGGGGAGCAAACAGG
rnacentral:rRNA from 1 species